rnacentral:rRNA from 1 species
AACGAACGCUGGCGGCAGGCUUAACACAUGCAAGUCGAGCGCCCCGCAAGGGGAGCGGCAGACGGGUGAGUAACGCGUGGGAAUCUACCCAUCUCUACGGAAUAACGCAUGGAAACGUGUGCUAAUACCGUAUACGUCCUUCGGGAGAAAGAUUUAUCGGAGAUGGAUGAGCCCGCGUUGGAUUAGCUAGUUGGUGGGGUAAAGGCCUACCAAGGCGACGAUCCAUAGCUGGUCUGAGAGGAUGAUCAGCCACACUGGGACUGAGACACGGCCCAGACUCCUACGGGAGGAAGCAGUGGGGAAUAUUGGACAAUGGGCGCAAGCCUGACCGAGCCAUGCCGCGUGAGUGAUGAAGGCCCUAGGGUUGUAAAGCUCUUUCACCGGUGAAGAUAAUGACAGUAACCGGAGAAGAAGCCCCGGCUAACUUCGUGCCAGCAGCCGCGGUAACAC